UGUACCGAUUCGAAGCUUGUGGAUGAGCAGGCUGGCAUCGAAGGCACAAUCUCGCUCCUCUUCGCUGGAUUAUCUGGCGCGAACCUGAUCCACGAUGUCG
rfam:Chloroflexi bacterium RBG_13_50_21 RBG_13_scaffold_1155, whole genome shotgun sequence.